UCCUCUUGGAAGCACCA
rnacentral:sRNA from 1 species